rnacentral:rRNA from 1 species
CCUACGGGAGGCAGCAGUGAGGAAUAUUGGUCAAUGGACGAGAGUCUGAACCAGCCAAGUCGCGUGAAGGAUGACUGCCCUAUGGGUUGUAAACUUCUUUUAUAUGGGAGUAAAAUGUUCCACGUGUGGGAUUUUGUAUGUACCAUAUGAAUAAGGAUCGGCUAACUCCGUGCCAGCAGCCGCGGUAAUACGGAGGAGCCGAGCGUUAUCCGGGUUUAUUGGGUUUAAAGGGAGCGUAGGUGGAUUGUUAAGUCAGUAGUGAAAGUUUGCGGCUCAACCGUAAAAUUGCAGUUGAAACUGGCAGGCUGGAGUACCGUAGAGGUGGGCGGAAUUCGUGGUGUAGCGGUGAAAUGCUUAGAUAUCACGAAGAACACCGAUUGCGAAGGCAGCUCACUGGACUGCAACUGACACUGAGGCUCGAAAGUGUGGGUAUCAAACAGGAUUAGAUACCCCUGUAGUC